UGUUGGAAUGAGCCUGGCACCAGGAGUCUCAAGCAGGCCGCUGUCUCCCCACCCAGUAGCAAGAGCUGCAGACACUGCACAGAUUUAUUGAACAUCUAAGAACACCAAGGACUAAGGCAUCACUCACAUAAGAAAGAAAAAGAGACACAGAGGUUACUGUCCAACUCAGUCCGGGAUUUUAAUUGAAGAGUUCACUUACAAAAUGCCAGAAGACCUUCAAGGAAGGAGAACGCUCAAGAGCCCACAGCCUGACCACUGAAGAGCGAUAGACGAGGAAGAACCAACAAUCACUGAGUGUUUACCACGUGGCAGACACUGGAUGAGUCAUGUAUUAUCUCACUGGAUCCUAACACAACCUGGGGAAGUAGUUGUUCAAUUAAGUGAUCUGGGACUCAGAGAAGUGAAGAAACCUGCCUAGGAGCCCUCAGCUGAUUUUGCUGAGCCUCCUUCUCCUCUGCCGGGAGCCUGUGGCGCUGGUCAGGCAUUUAGUCAUCAAGUUGCAGAUGCAGGACACAGAGAUGAAUGAGGAAGAACAAUGGAGCAACCCUCCUUUCUAAAACCCUCGACUCUACGCAUCGGAUGGCAGUUGAUCUCAAAGCAAAUUUCCAGCCCAUUUUUCUAUCCAGUGCCAACUUCUUUUCUUUCCAUACACAUAUAAGAGCAAUUGAAGCAAAAUUUAAAUUGUGUCAAAUUCUGCUCUAACUCUAUGCUGAAUGGGUUUGGGGAGAACCACUUGCAGCCUCUAACCAUGGUCUCUUGAACUCAGAGGGAUAGAGUAAGGGAUGCAGUCAGUGGCCCCAUAUGGGGACCCAUUACAAGAUUUCGACUCCCUUGAUUCUGUUCUGAGAAACCAGACACCUAGGCAUUAGCUGAAAAUGAUUCCUCCAGCCUUGCAGUCUUCCCCAUCGAUGGCCUGAAUCUCCCACAGCCCUGCAUCAGCACCCACGGACUCACACACUUGAGUGUCGGGUACCAGCUCUCCAUGUGGUUCAUCUUUUCAGAGCAAUCUCAGGAGAUUAGAAGCUCGAAAGACCGUGAUAGCCAGGAAGUUGAUGGUUGUUUCUGUUCCUUCCUUCAUUUUACUGUCUGUGUGGGUCAUAUAUUCUCUCGGACACCAGCAGGAAUCCUAAAAUCCUUUCAGAAUAACAUAUCUCCUCUUGUUCUUUUGGUUAACCUACUGCAAAACUGUUAGAGGUAUUUUAUCCUGAAUUUGCUGAGGUUUAAUAGGUAAGUUAUACUUGAUCCGUUUGUCCACACAUGGUUGUAAAUCGAAGUCUGUUCAGGGUUGAAAAGGAUGAUUUCUUACUGGCGUUGCUGCCAGCGAAGAUGUGCUUUCAGAAUCCAGGUGCAGGAACCCUCCAGAGUAGCGGUUCUCGACCCAGGGCAACUGUGUCACCCCCCUGUCCCCAACCCAGGGGACAUUGAGCAAUGUGUGGAGAUAUUUUUGGUCAUCGUAACUGGUGGUGUGGGGGGUGCUAUUGGCAUCUAUUGGGUGGAGGCAAAGGGCGCUGCUGAACAUCCUACAGCCAACUCUCCCAC
rnacentral:lncRNA from 1 species